UACGGAGGGUGCAAACGUUGCUCGGAAUUAUUGGGCGUAAAGCGCACGUAGGCGGACCAUCAAGUCGGAUGUGAAAUCCCUCGGCUUAACCGAGGACGUGCAUUCGAAACUGAUGGCCUUGAGUACGAAAGAGGAUCGCGGAAUUCCCGGUGUAGAGGUGAAAUUCGUAGAUAUCGGGAGGAACACCAGUGGCGAAGGCGGCGAUCUGGGUCGAUACUGACGCUGAGGUGCGAAAGCGUGGGGAGCGAACAGG
rnacentral:rRNA from 1 species